CUACGGGAGGCAGCAGGGAAUAUUGCACAAUGGGCGCAAGCCUGAUGCAGCCAUGCCGCGUGUAUGAAGAAGGCCUCCGGGUUGUAAAGUACUUUCAGCGGGGAGGAAGGGAGUAAAGUUAAUACCUUUGCUCAUUGACGUUACCCGCAGAAGAAGCACCGGCUAACUCCGUGCCAGCAGCCGCGGUAAUACGGAGGGUGCAAGCGUUAAUCGGAAUUACUGGGCGUAAAGCGCACGCAGGCGGUUUGUUAAGUCAGAUGUGAAAUCCCCGGGCUCAACCUGGGAACUGCAUCUGAUACUGGCAAGCUUGAGUCUCGUAGAGGGGGGUAGAAUUCCAGGUGUAGCGGUGAAAUGCGUAGAGAUCUGGAGGAAUACCGGUGGCGAAGGCGGCCCCCUGGACGAAGACUGACGCUCAGGUGCGAAAGCGUGGGGAGCAAACAGGAUUAGAUACCCCGGUAGUC
rnacentral:rRNA from 1 species